rnacentral:rRNA from 1 species
GACGAACGCUGGCGGCGUGCUUAACACAUGCAAGUCGAACGAAGUGGCGAACGGGUGAGUAAUACGUGGGUAACCUGCCCUCCUUUAUGGGGUAAGCCUUGGAAACGUGGUCUAAUAUCCAUUAGAGGGGGAUGGGCGCGCGGCCUAUCAGCGUGUUGGUGGGGUGAUGGGCUACCAAGGCGAUGACGGGUAGCCGGCCUGAGAGGGUGACCGGCCACAUUGAGACUGACAUGCGGCCCAGGCGACUAAGGGGGGGGGCAGAGGGGGAAAUUGCACAAAGGGGGAAAGACUGAUGCAGCGAGGCCGCAGGGGGUAUGAAGGCUUUCGGGUUGUAAACGUCUGUCGCAAUCGAAGGGGUACGUGGAGAAGAAGCGCCGGCUAACUACGUGCCAGCCGCCGCGGUAAUUC